AAUCCAUAGGUUAAUGAGGCGAACCGGGGGAACUGAAACAUCUAAGUACCCCGAGGAAAAGAAAUCAACCGAGAUUCCCCCAGUAGCGGCGAGCGAACGGGGAGGAGCCCAGAGCCUGAAUCAGCAUGUGUGUUAGUGGAAGCGUCUGGAAAGGCGCGCGAUACAGGGUGACAGCCCCGUACACAAAAGCGCAUGUGCUGUGAGCUCGAUGAGUAGGGCGGGACACGUGGUAUCCUGUCUGAAUAUGGGGGGACCAUCCUCCAAGGCUAAAUACUCCUGACUGACCGAUAGUGAACCAGUACCGUGAGGGAAAGGCGAAAAGAACCCCGGCGAGGGGAGUGAAAAAGAACCUGAAACCGUGUACGUACAAGCAGUGGGAGCACAGGUUUACCUGUGUGACUGCGUACCUUUUGUAUAAUGGGUCAGCGACUUAUAUUCUGUAGCAAGGUUAACCGAAUAGGGGAGCCGGAGGGAAACCGAGUCUUAAUUGGGCGUUAAGUUGCAGGGUAUAGACCCGAAACCCGGUGAUCUAGCCAUGGGCAGGUUGAAGGUUGGGUAACACUAACUGGAGGACCGAACCGACUAAUGUUGAAAAAUUAGCGGAUGACCUGUGGCUGGGGGUGAAAGGCCAAUCAAACCGGGAGAUAGCUGGUUCUCCCCGAAAGCUAUUUAGGUAGCGCCUCGUGAAUUCAUCUCCGGGGGUAGAGCACUGUUUCGGCUAGGGGGCCAUCCCGGCUUACCAACCCGAUGCAAACUGCGAAUACCGGAGAAUGUUAUCACGGGAGACACACGGCGGGUGCUAACGUCCGUCGUGAAGAGGGAAACAACCCAGACCGCCAGCUAAGGUCCCAAAGUCAUGGUUAAGUGGGAAACGAUGUGGGAAGGCCCAGACAGCCAGGAUGUUGGCUUAGAAGCAGCCAUCAUUUAAAGAAAGCGUAAUAGCUCACUGGUCGAGUCGGCCUGCGCGGAAGAUGUAACGGGGCUAAACCAUGCACCGAAGCUGCGGCAGCGACACUGUGUGUUGUUGGGUA
rnacentral:rRNA from 3 species